GUUUGACCACCGUUAGGAGAACAAAGAACACAUAGGAGGCUUUAAAAGGAAAGUACAAUACAAAGAUGGCUCAUCAUGCUGGACUGUUUGUGCGCGCACUUUUUGCCCUAGUCACCCUACUCAUUUCUGCUAUGGAUGCGGACGCCGUUCUUGCUCUCAACUAUGGAUCACAAAAAGCUAAGGAAUAUUGGGAAAGCCAAGGCCGUGUGGAUGCUGCGUCAAAGCUGUCGCCUUGACGACCGCUUACAACACUGGAAACAACAACAAAAAAACAUACCUGCAAUGUUGUCUGGCAUCGCAACAGCGUCUAAUAGAAAUAUCGAGGACAAUACGGCUCGUUAACUCAAUCAUUCAUACAUCUACCUUCCAAAUCCUUCAAACAUUUACGAACAUUCUAACAGUUAGCCUUGAAGGUUGCUCUUGUAUGAGAAAAAUAAUUUGCCCGUCUGCACUAAGUAAAACGUAUUUUGAACCAGUUUUUGUAGAUUACUAUACUUCGAUGCUCUUUGUGUACUAGUUUCUUUAUUAAAGAUGAAAACACACUAGAAU